UACGGAAGGUCCUAGCGUUGUUCGGAAUUACUGGGCGUAAAGCGCAUGUAGGCGGAACAAAAAGUUAGAAGUGAAAUCCCUGGGCUCAACCUAGGAAUUGCUUUUAAAACUUUUGUUCUGGAAUUCAGGAGAGGAAAAUGGAAUUUCCAGUGUAGAGGUGAAAUUCGUAGAUAUUGGAAGGAACACCAGUGGCGAAGGCGAUUUUCUGGACUGAUAUUGACGCUGAGAUGCGAAGGCAUGGGUAGCAAACGGG
rnacentral:rRNA from 1 species